AAAUAAGAAACAAAUUAUUGUAUUUAGUUUCGACCUAAAAAUUUGGCCUAGGGGGGCCCUUAUUUA
rnacentral:tRNA from 1 species